rnacentral:lncRNA from 1 species
CCCAUAAGGUGGACAUGGAGGCCAGCGUGAUGGAGGUGGGGCACCAGCCGCUGCUGGGCUGCGCGGCGUGUGGCACGGACGAGUACUGUGACUUCAGCGGGGAACGGCCGCGCUGCCAGAGGUGCACCGUGUGCCCGCCGGGCUUCUUCCUGGUGGCCCAGUGCUCCACGCACUCAGACCAGAUAUGCCAGGAUAGAGAUGAAUGCCUGGAAAUAACAAACCUUUGUGGAGAGCAGAACCAGUGUUUCAACACUCCAGGUGGGUUCAGGUGCCAGGGCAUUUCAGAGCGUGAGGGCGCUGCUGGCCACUGUGGCCAUGCCUACUACUACAGCACCC